rnacentral:rRNA from 1 species
GACGAACGCUGGCGGCGUGCCUAAUACAUGCAAGUCGAACGAGAGCGCCCGGUGCUUGCACUGGUCAAUCUAGUGGCGAACGGGUGAGUAACACGUGGGUAACCUGCCCAUCAGAGGGGGAUAACAUCCGGAAACGGAUGCUAAAACCGCAUAGGUCUUCGAGCCGCAUGGCUUGAAGAGGAAAAGAGGCGCAAGCUUCUGCUGAUGGAUGGACCCGCGGUGCAUUAGCUAGUUGGUGAGGUAACGGCUCACCAAGGCCGUGAUGCAUAGCCGACCUGAGAGGGUGAUCGGCCACAUUGGGACUGAGACACGGCCCAAACGCCUACGGGAGGCAGCAGUAGGGAAUCUUCCGCAAUGGACGGAAGUCUGACGGAGCAACGCCGCGUGAGUGAAGAAGGUUUUCGGAUCGUAAAACUCUGUUGUUAGAGAAGAACAAGUGCUAGAGUAACUGUUAGCGACUUGACGGUACCUAACCAGAAAGCCACGGCUAACUACGUG